CCCUUAGAUGUUCUGGGCCGCACGCGUGCUACACUGACCGGCGCAACAAGUUUCUUUCCUUGGCUCGAUAGGCCUGGGUAAUCUUUGAACGCCGGUCGUGAUGGGGAUAGAUCCUCGCAAUUUUUGAUCUUCAACGAGGAAUUCCUAGUAAAUGCGAGUCAUCAUCUCGCGUUGAUUACGUCCCUGCCCUUUGUACACACCGCCCGUCGCACCUACCGAUUGAAUGGUCCGGUGAAAUCUCGGGACGGCGGCUUGGUCGCUUGCGUCCGACUGCUGAAACUUGAUUAAACCAUAUCAUUUAGAGGAAGGUGAANUCGUAACA
rnacentral:rRNA from 1 species